CUCAAAAUAGCUGCAUGAGAGGCUGCAGUGAGCCGAGGUCGCGCCACUGCACUCCAGCCUGGGUGACAGAGCAAGACUCCAUGUCGAAAAAUAAAAAAAAAAUUAAUAAAAAACCAAAAUAGCUGUAUGACUCCUCCCCCUUUUUACUUGGGGGAGAGAGAGUUUGAGAUGGAGAGAGGAGAGAUGGGCAGGAAGGAUGGAUUGUCACCACGCUUUCUCACUGGGGAGAGAACAGAAGUUUACUUCUUACUGGGUGGAGACACUUGGCAUUUGUAAAUGAGAAUACCAAUUUCAAGGAAGAUAAGAGAAAGAACAAAGCCUCCUAGCAUAAACAGAAACGUUUUGGAGUCUAUUAAUCUGCUGCUCAUUUUCGAAAAUGCCAUCAGCAUCUUUCCUGUAACAUGUAGAGGGCCCCCUCCUUUGGAAACUGCGGUGUAUGGCUGGCAGGUGCAAUUGUUUGACCAUUUCUGAGUAGCGCUCAUUUCUGCAGGCGUCUGCCAGUUUGGAGCUGUCACAAGCAAGGCUGCCGGGGGCCUCUUUGCUCCUUUAUGUUUGGACACCAAUGGUUGCUUUGCUGUAGGAAAGACGCGCAGGAAGCCGGGCCUCCGCGUCAGUGCCUGGGAAUCGCCUGAGGAUUUCUGGGCGACCAGGAGCCAGGGCCGCCACCGUUCCCGGGACGGGGAAGAGGAGGUUCACAUUUCACUCCUGGAAGGAGAAAAUGGAAAAUGUUCUACCAGAAGGCACGAAUCACUCUGGCACAUGCGGUGAUAGCUGCAGCAGGAACGAAUUCAGCCCAUGACAUUUGAGUAGAUUGCUGGUGAGACAGCAGCCACUGCUCCCAGGCCCGAGAACAGGGGCAGCACCAAAGCUGGUCAGUGUUUCCUCCUUACAGUUGUUGGACUGUCUGCCCCAUGAGGGAACAAAAGCUCCAUCGACGAGCGUGGAUCCAGAAGCCCAGGAAAUCAGGCUGGAGCCUUCCUUACUUCUGCUGUCUGCAGUGACCACUCUGGAUUUGGGAUCCAGCCUCCCUGAGACUGUAAACAUCUGGGUGAGAGCCAGCCGUGGCUGAGCCCGUAAUUACUGGCUGCAGCCUCCCUACGGCGGCACAGAGGAGGUCUGAAUGUGCUGCAGAGGAGGGUGCUCCCCAGAGAUCACCCCUGUGACAGAUCGAUUGAAGGACCCCUGAAUGGCUGAAUUGAGAAGAACAAGCAUAUUAGGAGGCCAUACAAUGGGAGCCUCUCAGGCAGACAGACAAAGCCAUGGAAACUGCAGACUUAUUUGUAUGUUUUAGUAAAUACCUUUGCUUCAUUUUCCCCGUCUCCGCCUGGACUGAGGGUCACCUCACCUCUCCUGGUGUCCAGAGCCUCCUUCAGGACAGAUGUUUCAAACCUGAGUUCUCACAAACAACGGGGUCCAGCCCUUCUCAACACGGGAAAGCCCUUGAGCCAUCUUUGAUUUGUGUGUUUUGAUGUAAUUGCACUACUGCUUGCAAUGCUUGUUUUUAGCGGUGAGUGCUGGUUUAAUUUGUUUCUUUCUGGUCUCCCAGCCCCACUCCAGAAUUUUGGCUCCUGGAGAGGAGGGGCCCUGAACUGGCAUUUUCAGUGAAGCAUCCCAGUGCCUUGAAUCCAGUAAGCAGCCAGGUGUCUGUUGGCUUCAUGGUUUAACAACCUACCAUUUGAAGAAUCGCAGAGAUGAAUUAAAAAGAGCCCCGGAGAGGCUCCCCGAUCCAGUUGCACUUCCUGCUUAAGCAAAGUAAAGAAAAACAGGAAUGAAAACAUAACCCAAUGGGUUAGUUCCAUGCUGGCCAUUGAUGAGGUUGCAGCCACCAUCAGAAGAAGGCCAAACGGUUAGAAAGACACGACGGUGAGGAAGAUGAGCCUCAUUAUCGACCGUCACCUGCAGCCCUGCACAGGUGCUCAGAAUCUAACACUUGAUGGCUGGUUGAGAUUCGUGGAGUCCUAAUUAGGAAUGGGGAGUCAGGCUGGCAGGACCCAGGGAAAGCAAAAAGAGAAGGCAGAGAAGCUCCAAGUCUGCCUGUCUUCAUGAUCCAGAACACAUAGUCCUGCUGCACAAGUAACUCACAAUCUUCCUGUGUCUAGCUGUCAUUAGGCUCUUGGCUGAUAGAAAAAUGCAAGUUAGCACACCGCAGCCUUGGUGUUGUCAGUACUGCAUGUCGCUCUCUCCAGCACACCGCAACCUCGGUGUUGUCAGUACUGCAUGUCGCUCUCUCCAGCACACAGCACAAGCACCAUCCUAUCAAGUCCCCAGCAAGCCUUUGUCUCCUUGCAGUCAGCUCCUCUCUUGCUGGCCUGCCUGUUGCCUCCUUGCUGUGUAUUUUCCUACUUUCUCUAAUUUGCCUUUUUUUUUUGAGAUGAAAUUUUGCCUCAGCCUCCCAAGUAGCUGGGACUACAGGUGCGUGCCACCACGUCCAUCUAAUUUUUGUAUUUUUCGUAGAGACGGGUUUUCACCAUGUUGGCCAGGAUGGCCUUACCUCUUGACCUCCUGAUCCGCCUGCCUCGGCCUCCCAAAGUGUCGGGAUUACGGGCAUGAGCCACCGCACCUGGCCUAAAUCUGCCUUUCUUAACCUACAAUUGUCUUUACCCUGAGCCGCUGGCCCCAGAUAGUCGCUGCUCACCCGUGACAAUAUUUCACCACUGAGAUCAUUUAUCCUCAAAAAAAUGAGUAGAAUGGCCACGGAAUUGUGUCCAAAGAAUGAAGGAGCAAAACAGUCUUGGAGUCUUAGGAGCAAAACAUCUGCAUUACUAAUAUCCUCCCAAGUCCACCAAGCCUCAGCUAGGAACGGUUCCCCACUUGUGAAGUGUCUGAUAAGUUCUAGUUUCCUUCCUUCCUUCCUUCCUCUCUCUCUCUCUUUUUCUUUCUUUUCUCUUUCUCUCUUUCUUUUCUUUUUCUUUCUCUUAUCAUUCUUUCCUUUCUUUCUAUCUUUCUUUCUUCUAUCUUUCUCUCUCUCUCUCUUUGACAGUCUCACUCCAUUGUUCAGGCUGGAGUACAGUGGCACAAUCUCAGCUCACUGCAACCUCUGCCUCCCAGGUUCAAGCAAUUCUCCUGUCUCAACCUCCUGAGUAGCUGGGAUUACAGGCUCUCGCCACUACAUCCAGCUGAUUUUUGUAUUUUUAGUAGAGGUGGGGGUUUCAUCAAGUUGGCCAGGCUGGUCUCGAACUCCUGACCUCAGGUAAUCUGCCCAAACGUAAUCAAACACCACCUGUUCCCCAAAAACCAAUGGAAAUAAAAUUUAAAAACAAAAACAAAAAGCAUCUCCUCAGCAUUGUGUUCGAAGAGAGGCAGCUGCGAGGACCUUGCUGUUCCUCACCCUCGGAAGCCGUGCCUCUCAUCUGGGCCCUUGGUCUGGCAUCCCCGGCCAGUGCAGCCCCUUCCACCGUGGGGUAGGUGGCGGGCGGAGGGGCCAGCCUGGCUGCCUGGCAUCCCCAUGGUUCCUGUAAUAAAUAACAAGCCUAACUGACAAAUUUGCUGUUUUCUUAUACAACUGCCACGCACGCUACGAAGUGUGAGGCAAACCGCAAGUCAUCGGCAUCACAGCAAAACAAAAACACACACACAACAGAAGAAACCACGCUGGUGAGGUCAACAGGGGACAGGGAGACCCUCCCUGCGGGAGCCGCUGCUAGAGGGAAAGGCAGCGUUGGAUCGGAUGCCGGCCCCAGCCUGGGAGACGUGCUUCCUCUGCAGCCUGUGAUCAGGAGCGAAAUGUAGAGACCAGAAUCGUUCAGAGGCAGGGCUGGUCCCUGUUGAUUUAUGACUCAGGCAAACAGUCCAUUCAUCCGUCAGCGGCUCCACUUCUAUCCCCAGCUUACUGGAGGCAGAAGAAUGUCCCCUGGAAGUGGUCUGAGCUGCUUCCUGUGGUUGCCCCAUUCCUCCGGGUGGGGGAUCCUAUUUUUAGAGAGCCACCACUGCCAUGAAGGUCCAGCCAGCUCAUCGGCACCGUGCGGCAUGGUGGGACGCAGUACUGAAAUUCGAGGGGGAGCUAGGCAUUCAUAGCUGUUUCUUACAAACGAGAAAGGCACUGAUUCUGAGGCUCCAUUUCCUCCUCUGUAGGUGGAAGAUAGAGGAGGCUAUACAGGGAGGCUCAGUUGUGCCUGACACACAACAUUCUCCAGGAACAGGAGAUGAAUGAAUACAAAAUCAAAUAGGUGAUUUCCCUCUACUUCCAGCAGACAAACCCAGAAUAGCAAAGAUCACUUUCAUGCGCGUCUGUGUGAAAAGACCACCAAACAGGCUUUGUGUGAGCAAUAAAGCUGUUUAUUUCACCUGGGUGCAGGUGGGCUGAGUCCGAAAAGAGAGUCAGUGAAGGGAGAUAAGGGUGGAGCCGUUUUAUAGGAUUUGGGUAGGUAAAAGAAAAUUACAGUGAAAGGGGGUUUGUUCUCUGGCGGGCAGGAGUGGCUUUUUGAGCCAGGAUGAGCCAGGAAAAGGACUUUCACAAGGUAAUGUCAUCAUUUAAGGCAAGGACCGGCCAUUUACACUUCUUUUGUGGUGGAAUGUCAUCAGUUAAGGUGGGGCAGGGCAUAUUCACUUCUUUUGUGAUUCUUUAGUUACUUCAGGCCAUCUGAGCGUAUAUAUACGUGAAGGUCACAGGGGAUGCGAUGGCUUGGCUUGGGCUCAGAGGCCUGACAUUCCUGCCUUCUUAAUAAGAAAACAAAAUAGUGUUGAAGUGUUGGGGCGGCGAAAAUUUUGGGGGGGUGGUAUGGAGAGAGAAUGGAUGAUGUUUCUCAGGGCUGCUUCAAGCGGGAUUAGGGGCGGCGUGGGAACCUAGAGUGGGAGAGAUUGAGCUGAAGGGAGGUUUUGUGGUAAGGGGUGAUAUUGUGGGGAUGUUAGAAGAAAGAUUUGUCGUAUAGAAUGAUUGGUGAUGGCCUGGAUACGGUUUUGGAUGAAUUGAGAAACUAAAUGGAAUAACAGAAGGAGAAAAACAGGUAUAAAAGGUCUAAGAAUUGGGAUGACUCAGGAUAUCUGAUUAGAGAGCGCCUAAGGAGAUUCAGCAUAGUCCUGCCAGCAAAGAUUAUUUAUUUACUUCAAGAGUUAAGAGUGGCAGUUUGGGGAUAGCACCAGGAGAUAUCAGCUGUGAUGGCUUGGAGAAACAGUGUAAACCGGCAGUGUAAACAAGAGCAGGGCAUGUAUGAGUAGUUGAGAACGGUGAAUAGGAGUAUGACUAGACAGAAGAUGGUAGGGACGACAAGCUUUUUGAGGCACAGUCUAAGUUGGUCUGGUGUCUGGAAUGAGACUGGGGCCUAAUAAAAAGGAGCGUCUAUACAGGAGCUUAAAUGGGCUGUACCCUGUAGCAUUCCGAGGACAGGCCUGAAUUCUGAGAAGGGAAAGUGGUAAAAGUAUUGUCCAGUCCUUUUUAAGUUGGUGACUGAGCUUGGUGAGGUGUGUUUUUAAAAGACCUUUAGUCCAUUCUACUUUUCUUGAAGACGGAGGACCGUAAGGGAUAUAAAGGUUUCACUGAAUACUAAGAGCCUGAAAAACUGCUUGGCUGAUUUGACUAAUAAAGGCUCAUCUGUUAUCAGACUGUAUUGAGGUGGGAAGGCUAAACUGAGGAAUUAUGUCUGACAGAACGGAAGAAAUGACUGCGAUGGCCUUCUCAGACUCUAUAGGGAAGGCCUCUACCUAUCCAGUGAAAGCAUCUCCCUAGACUAAGACAUAUUUUAGUUAUCUGACUCAGGGCAUGUUGAGUAAAGCUAAUUUGCCAGUCCUGGGUGGGGCAAAUCCUCGAGCUUGAUGUGUAGGGAAGGGAGGGGGCCUGAAUAAUCCCUGAGGAGUAGUAGAAUAGCAGAUGGAACACUGAGAAGUUAUUUCCUUGAGGAUAGAUUUCCACGAUGGAAAGGAAAUGAGAGGUUCUAAGAGGUGGGCUAGUGGCUUGUACUACAGCAUAACCUGCCUUUGCUGGUGUGUGGCAAUUAGGCCUGGUGGAACCGCCAUCAGUAAAUCAAGUGUGAUCAGGGUGAGGAACAGGAAAGAAGGAAAUUUGGGGAAAUGGGGUGAAUGUCAGGUGGAUCAGAGAGAUACAGUCAUGGGGGUCAGGUGUGGUAUCAGGAAUAAUGUGGGAGGCCGGAUUGAAGUCUGGGCCAGGAACAACGGUAAUUGUGGGAGACUCAACAAAGAGUGAGUACAGCUGAAGGAGCCAGGAAGCAGAAAGUAUAUGCGUCAGGUAUGAGGAAAAAAAUAGAUUUUGGAAGUUAUGAGAACUGUAGAGAGUGAGUUGAGCAUAGUUUGUGAUUUUGAGGGCCUCUAAAAGUAUUAAAGCAGCGGCAGCCGCUGCACGCAGACAUGAGGGCUAGGCUAAAACAGUAAGGUCAAGUUGUUUGGACAGAAAGGCUACAGGGUGUGGUCCUGGCUCUUGUGUAAGAAUUCUGACCAUGCUAACCAUGCCUAGGAAGGAAAGGAGUUUGUUGUUUUGUAGAAAGGUUUGAGAGAUCAGUCGGACACGAUUGGCAGGGAGAGCACGUGUGUUUUUUGAGAAUUAUGCCGAGAUAGGUAACAGUUGAGGAAGACAUUUGGGCUUGAUUGAAGUAAUGGGGGCUGUCCGUGAAGCUUUGCGGCAGUACAGCCUAGGUAAUUUGCUGAGCUUGAUGGGUGUCAGGGUCAGUCCAAGUGAAAGCGAAGAGAGGCUGGGAUUAAGGGUGCAAAGGAAUAGUAAAGAAAGCAUGUUUGAGAUCUAGAACAGAAUAAUGGGUUGUAGAGGCAGGUAUUGAGGAUAGGAGAGUAUAUGGGUUUGACAUCACGGGGUGGAGAGGCAAAACAAUUUGGUUGAUAAGGCGCAGAUCCUGAACUAAUCUGUAAGACUUGUCCGGUUUUUGGACAGGUAAAAUGGGGGAAUUGUAUGGAGCGUUUAUAGGUUUUAGAAGGCCAUGCUGUAGCAGGCGAGUGAGAACAGGCUUUAAUCCUUUCAAAGCAUGCUCUGGGAUGGGAUAUUGGCAUUGAGCAGGGUAAAGGUGAUUAGGUUUUAAUGAGAUGGUAAGGGGUGCAUGAUCGGUCACCAAGGAGGGAGUAGAGAGGUAUCUUAUACUUGUGGGUUAAGGUGGGGGGAUAAAAGAGGACGCAAAGGAGGCUUUGGGUUGGGGAGAAGGGCGGCAAUGAGAUGCAGCUGGAGUCCAGGAAUAGUCAGGGAAGCAGAUAAUUUAGUUAAAGUGUCUCAGCCUAAUAAGGGAACUGGGCAGGUGGGGAUAAUUAAAAAGGAGUGCUUAAAAGAGUAUUGUCUAAGUUGGCACCAGAGUGGGGGAGUUUUAAGAGGUUUAGAAGCCUGGCCGUCAAUACCCACAACAGUUAUGGAGGCAAGGGAAACAGGCCCUUGAAAAGAAGGUAAUGUGGAGUGGGUAGCCUCCAUAUCGAUUAAGAAGGGGACGGACUUACCUUCCACUGUGAGAGUUACUCGAAGCUCGGCGUCUGUGAUGGUCUACGGGGCUUCCGAGGCGAUCGGGCAGCGUCAGUCUUCAGCCGCUAAGCCGAGAAGGAGUCGGUCAGAGAGCCUUGGGCCAGCGUUCCAGGGGCUCUGCGGGUGAGUUGAACAGUCCGAUUUCCAGUGGGGUCCCACACAGAUGGGACGUGGCUUAGGAGGAAUCCUGGGCUGCGGGCAUUCCAUGGCCUGGUGGUCAGAUUUCCGGCACAUGUAGCAAGCUCCUGGGGGAGGAGGUUCUGGAGGAACGCCUGGCCGCUGCGGUUCGGGCGUUUGGAAGUUCUUGUGUGCUGGAGAUGUGGCUGGGGUUUCUCUCACAGUGGAGGCAAGGAAUUGCAAGUUUUUUCUAUUAUUGUACACCUUGAAGGCGAGGUUAAUUAAAUCCUGUUGUGGGGUUUGAGGGCCGGAAUUUAAUUUUUGGACUUUUAUUUAAUGUCGGGAGCAGAUUGGGUAAUAAAAUGUAUAUUGAGGAUAAGAUGGCCUUUUGACCUUUUAGGGUCUAGGGCUGUAAAGCGUCUCAGGGUUGCUGCCGAACGAGCCAUGAACUGGGCUGGGUUUUUAUAUUUGAUGAAAAAGAGCCUGAACGCUAUCUGAUUUGGGAUAAAGAAAAAGGAGCAUUAACCUCGACUAUGCCUUUGGCUCCAGCCACCUUUUUAAGAGUAAAUUGCUGGGCAGGUGGGGAAGGGCUGGUCACGGAACUAAACUGUAAGCCGGACCGGGUGUGAGGAGGGGAGGUGAUAGAAGGAUUAUAGGGUGGAGGAGCGGAGGCUGAGGAAGAAUGGGGACUUAGCUCGGCCUGGUGACGAGCAGCCUGGGGAGGAGGGGAAAGGUCAGAUGGGUCUGUAGAAAAGGAAGACUGGGAAGACUCAGCGACGCUUGGGGUUGGGACUGAGGGGGACAGGUGGGAGGGAAAGAAGGAAGAUUUGGGAUGAGUUGCAUUGGGAACAGAGACUAGGAAGGGACUGAUGUGUAAAAGAAUGCCUGGAUGUCAGGCACCUCAGACCAUUUGCCUAUUUUACGACAAGAAUUAUUUAGAUCUUGUAGGAUGGAAAAAUUGAAAAUGCCAUUUUCCGGCUAUUUGGAACUACUGUCGAGUUUGUAUUGGGGUCAAGUGGCAUUGCAGAAGAAAAUAAGGCAUUUAGGUUUUAGGUCAGGUGUGAGUUGAAGAGGUUUUAAGUUUUUGAGAACACAGGCUAAGGGAGAAGGAGGAAUGGAAGGUGGAAGCUUACCCAUAGUGAAGGAGGCAAGCCCAGAGAAAAGAGAAGAGACACGGAGAAGGGGUAGGGGUUUCUUGCCUUCCAGAAAAGCAGAGAAAGUGUUGGGGCAUGGAAAUAAGGAAUUGGGGCACAGAGAUAAGAGGUUGGGGUGUGGAAAUAAGGGAUUGGGGCGCAGAGAUAAGAGGUUGGGGUGCGGAAAUAAGCCAUUGGGGGGUUCUUGCCCCCUAGGAAAGCGGCACUUGCCGCUAAGGGUGAAGGAGAAGGGGUUGAGGGGUACUUGCCCCUGCCCCAGGAAAGUGGGACUAGCCGCUAAGGGUGAAGGAGAAGGGGUUGAGGUACUUGCCCCUGCCCCAGGAAAGCGGGACUUGUCGCUGAGGAUGAAGGACCAAGGCAGGCGUCCCUGCGUGGUCUGACACCCUUGAAACGUGGUUGUAUAAUCAGAGAGGCGUCCCUGCAGUGAUUAAACACCAAGGGAAGGCUGCCUUCCCAGUCCGUGACCGGCGCCGGAGUUUGGGUCCAUGGAUAAAACGUGUCCCUUUUGUCUCUACCAGAAAAUGAAAGGAAUUGAAAUUAAGAGAAGGGAGAGACUGAAGUGUGGCGCCAAGAUUGAAAGGAGAAAGAGGUUGAGGGAUAGUGAGGGAAGUUGGAGAAGAGAGUAAAAAGAGGCCGCUUACCGGAUUUGAAAUUGGUGACAUGUUUCUUGGGCUGGUCGGUCUGAGGACCUGAGGUCGUAGGUGGAUCUUGCUCACAGAGCAAAGAGCAGGAGGACGGGGGAUUGAUCUCCCAAGGGAGGUCCCCCAAUCCGAGUCACGGCACCAAAUUUCAUGCGCGUCCGUGUGAAGAGACCACCAAACAGGCUUUGUGUGAGCAAUAAACCUGUUUAUUUCACCUGGGUGCAGGUGGGCUGAGUCCGAAAAGAGAGUCAGGGAAGGGAGAUAAGGGUGGGGCCGUUUUAUAGGAUUUGGGUAGGUAAAAGAAAAUUACAGUCAAAGGGGGUUUGUUCUCUGGCGGGCAGGAGUGGAAGUCACAAGGUGCUCAGUGGGGGAGCUUUUUGAGCCAGGAUGAGCCAGCAAAAGGACUUUCACAAGGUAAUGUCAUCAGUUAAGGCAAGGACCGGCCAUUUACACUUCUUUUUGGUGGAAUGUCAUCAGUUAAGGUGGGGCAGGGCAUAUUCACUUCUUUUGUGAUUCUUUAGUUACUUCAGGCCAUCUGGGCAUAUAUAUACGUGCAGGUCACAGGGGAUGCGAUGGCUUGGCUUGGGCUCAGAGGCCUGACAAUCACCCCAUGAACUAAUGCAACCAUAUCAGGCAAAUUGCACCCCCUUUUCUGUCUUUUGUUCUCCCCCAGGCACACUUGCCAGCUUCCUCUUUCUACGUCCUCCUGGGCAUACCCAGCCUUCAUCAUGAAGUUGUGUCUGUUUUCCACUCACACGCUUCCCAGGAAGAGUCCUGGACAGCGUAUCAGGAUCUCUCAUUUUUUUGCUUGAACUCACUGCAGACUCAUCUUGUGGCAAGGCUCACUACCCACCAUGCCAGGCCUUGUCAGUGCCCUGGGGCAGCGUGGAUGGGCUGCCCAUGCUUUCAGCUGACAGACAGCAGCAAAGGCCAUCGCCUCCUUCUGACGGAAUCAGAAGGUGGAACCAGGCCAGUGUAGGGUGGGACCAGAACUGAUGUCUGGACACAUGACCCAUAGACUGUCCCUGCCAUUGGAGAGCUGGGGACCGCGCCACAGGAGGCUGCGUGGUUAUCGCCUGUGAGCCACGAAGACCUUCAUUUCGUUGUCUGUGUUUACUUUGUGUCUCCUCUGAAUGUGAUCCUAUGUUCUGGGUUGUUGUUGUUUCCCGAAAUGGCUGCAUUUCAAAUAUGCUGUUCUUUUCCCAUCAAUAGUUUCUUGCCAGCUGGGUGCAGUGGCUCACGCCUGUAAUCCCAGCACUUUGGGAGGCCGAGGCAGGUGGAUCAUGAGGUCAAGAGCUCGAGACCAGCCUGGCCAACAUGGUGAAACCCCGUUUCUACUAAAAAUACAAAAAUCAGCCAGGCGUGGUGGCCCGUGCCUGUAGUCCCAGCUACUCGGGAGGCUGAGGGACGAGACUCGCUUGAACCCAGGAGGCGGAGGUUGCAGUGAGCCAAGAUUGUGCCACUGCACUCCAGCCUGGGUGACAGAAUGAGAAUCUGUCUGAACGAACGAACGAAAGAAAGAAAGAACGAAAGAAAGAGAAAAAGAGAGAAAAAAAAUUCUUGCCUUGGUUUGAGUUGCCAGGAGCAAAUUCUAGAUCAAAGAUUCACAUAUUUGGGAGGUGAUCCCUGGCCACACCUGUAGAAGGGUGGGAGGGGAGGCAGCGAAGGGAAAGGCCCAUUGAGGGCGUGUGAUCCCACCCAGCAUCACUCAGGGCAUUUAGACCUGAAUCCCGCUGGGGGCCCUGGUUUACAGUGUACACCCCUGCCCCAGUUACCCCAGCUCCCUUCAGUCAGUGGCCGAGAGAUGUUCAGGGACAGCUGUGGCUGGGACCUGAUGAUCCACCAGCCCUGGGGCAAGGCACAGUCAGGCACAUUGAUUCCAGGCUUUGGUAACUGGGGGAUGUUGGUGCUAGAAGCAGAAGAACGUAGGCAAGCAGGCAUUCCUGCAUAGGAAUAUCAUUGGGCUAGAGCAGACCUUUCUCAUCUGUAAGAAAAAAGCUAUUAAUGCCUACUUCCCCACCCCCAGCUAAUGUCAAUGCUCUAUAAGCUUCUAGCCUGUCGUAUAACUUACAACUCUUGCUUUAUGGUUAUGCAAAGACCAUAAACUAUUUAAACCUCGCUAACACCAUUGUGUCAUCCCAGUCAUGGAUAGGCUGGCUAUGCCUAGGAGGAUGUAGAAAGAGAGGGGCUGGAGGGGCAGGGGAGCUGCUGAGGGGCCUUGCUAGCCACGGUAAGUGCCACCGUGUGAUGUUGGCUCCUGGACUCUGAAAGCCAGGGGGAAACACUUGCCUACACUUUAUCCUAUAGGUGGGAGGUAGCCACCAAGGGCUUUGUUCAGGGCAUGGAGUGCUAAGAACUGGGCUUUGGGCCAGCAGAAGGCCGUGAAUGAGGUUCCCAUCACCUGUGCCCUACCUGGCCUUGGCUGUCCACUGGUCCAUCGCCUCCUGGGGCUGUCCCCACAGAACCCUGCCAGCAUCCCUGGCAAGCGUGUGUUUGGCAUGGACUCGUGGCCAGGUGUGCUCGUGUACACAUGCGUGAGCAGCGAUGCGUAUCAGAGCCCCCUGAGAUGCAUAUUUUCUUAGAGGUCAGAUACAGAGAUGUGGACUCACAGAGCUCCACGGGGAGCAGGGAAGGGACUGAACAUGAGUUAUAUUAGCCAAGCCCAACCCCCACUUUAUUUUUCCAUGCCUGAAAAUAAUCAUACCUUUUUAGUCGUGUGAAGCCUAGUACUCCAGGAAAAAGGCACAGAGAUUUAAGAAGCCCUGAAUACGGUUUUGGCCAAGCACUACCUCCUAGAUUCCCCUCCAACAUUCUGAGACUUGGAGAGAAGAGGGGGAGAAGACCCCAGCUGUCAUUCUCUGUAUUGUCCAUUUCUUCUCCCUUGUUCCACAUUCAUUCCCUAACAUCCCUCUGCAAGUUACUUUUCAUUUAAACACCGCACGUAAAAGCACAAUGUCUGGUUUUGGUGGCACAGGUCGUCUAUUGCAAAAGGAUGUCUAAGAGGGAUAACUAGAGUGUGCUUUCGGGGACUUCCCAAGGAGGGAUAACUAGGGUGUGCUUUGGGGGACUUCCCAAGGGGGCCUGAAACAAAGGAAUAGAUACAAAGCCUGUGGGACCUGUGCAGCCCUAAGCUGGAAGAUUUCCAGCCAAGUAACAGCA